rnacentral:rRNA from 1 species
AUUGAACGCUGGCGGCGUGCUUAACACAUGCAAGUCGAGCGGUAACAGGCGUAGCAAUACGUGCUGACGAGCGGCGAACGGGUGCGUAAUACAUGGGAAUCUGCCCUUUGGUGGGGAAUAACCCGGCGAAAGCCGGGCUAAUGCCGCAUGAGAUCUUCGGAUGAAAGCGGGGGAUCGUAAGACCUCGCGCCGAUGGAUGAGCCCAUGUCGGAUUAGCUAGUUGGUGAGGUAACGGCUCACCAAGGCGACGAUCCGUAGCUGGUCUGAGAGGACGGCCAGCCACACUGGGACUGAGACAGGGCCCAGACUCCUGCGGGAGGCAGCAGUGGGGAAUAUUGGACAAUGGGCGAAAGCCUGAUCCAGCGUCGCCGCGUGUGUGAAGAAGGCCUGCGGGUUGUAAAGCACUUUCGAUGGGAACGAAAUGUGCCGGGCUAAUACCCCGGCAAGCUGACGUUACUCAACGAAGAAGCACCGGCUAACUCUGUGCCAGCCGCCGCCGUAA